rnacentral:rRNA from 1 species
AUUGAACGCUGGCGGCAUGCCUUACACAUGCAAGUCGAACGGUAACAGGUCUUCGGAUGCUGACGAGUGGCGAACGGGUGAGUAAUACAUCGGAACGUGCCUAGUAGUGGGGGAUAACUACUCGAAAGAGUGGCUAAUACCGCAUGAGAUCUACGGAUGAAAGCAGGGGAUCGCAAGACCUUGUGCUACUAGAGCGGCCGAUGGCAGAUUAGGUAGUUGGUGGGAUAAAAGCUUACCAAGCCGACGAUCUGUAGCUGGUCUGAGAGGACGAUCAGCCACACUGGGACUGAGACACGGCCCAGACUCCUACGGGAGGCAGCAGUGGGGAAUUUUGGACAAUGGGCGCAAGCCUGAUCCAGCAAUGCCGCGUGCAGGAUGAAGGCCUUCGGGUUGGGAACUGCUUUUGUACGGAACGAAAAGCCCUGGGUUAAUACCCUGGGGUCAUGACGGUACCGUAAGAAUAAGCACCGGCUAACUACGUGCCAGCCGCCGCGGUAAAAC